GAUCAUGGCUCAGGAUGAACGCUAGCUACAGGCUUAACACAUGCAAGUCGAGGGGCAUCAGUUUGGUUUGCUUGCAAACCAAAGCUGGCGACCGGCGCACGGGUGAGUAACACGUAUCCAACCUGCCUCAUACUCGGGGAUAGCCUUUCGAAAGAAAGAUUAAUAUCCGAUAGCAUAUAUUUCCCGCAUUGGGUUUUAUAUUAAAGAAAUUCGGUAUGAGAGUGGGAUGUCCGUUACCUAUUUAGG
rnacentral:rRNA from 1 species